GAUGAACGCUAGCUACAGGCUUAACACAUGCAAGUCGAGGGGAAACGACAUUGAAGCUUGCUUCGAUGGUCGUCGACCGGCGCACGGGUGAGUAACGCGUAUCCAACCUGCCUCUGACCAAGGGAUAACCCGUCGAAAGUCGGCCUAAUACCCUAUGCAGUCGUCGGAAGUCAUCUGAUGACGACGAAAGAUUUCAUCGGUGAGAGAUGGGGAUGCGUCUGAUUAGCUUGUUGGCGGAGUAACGGCCCACCAAGGCAACGAUCAGUAGGGGUUCUGAGAGGAAGGUCCCCCACAUUGGAACUGAGACACGAUCCAAACUCCUACGGGAGGCAGCAGUGAGGAAUAUUGGUCGAUGAGCGAGAGCCUGAACCAGCCAAGUAGCGUGCAGGAGGACGGCCCUAUGGGUUGUAAACUGCUUUUAUGCGGGGGUAAAGUGAGGGACGUGUCCUUCAUUGCAGGUACCGCAUGAAUAAGGACCGGCUAAUUCCGUG
rnacentral:rRNA from 1 species